CUGAUAUGGUUUGGCUCUGUGUCUGCACCCAAAUCUCUUCUUGUAGCUCCCAUAAUUACCAUGUGUUGUGGGAGGGACUUGGUGGGAGAUAAUUGAAUCACAGAGGCAAGUCUUUCCCAUGCUAUUCUUGUGAUAGUGAAUAGGUCUCAUGGGAUCUGAUGGUUUUAAGAAAGGGAGUUUCCCUGCACAGGCUCUCCUUUUGCCUGCUGCCAUGCACAUAAGAUGUGACUUGCUCCUCCUUACCUUUUACCUUCCACCAUGGUUGUGAAGCCUCUCCAGCCACGAGUAACUCCUAGUCAACACGAAGACAAGGAUGAAGGCCUUUAUGCUGAUUCACUUCCACUGAAUGAAAAGUUCUACACUGGAAAAAGUGGGAUCAAGGUGGACAACCAGCUUCCCCAGCAUCUUGGACUCCCUAGCAGAAACUUUUCCCUGCCUCAACCCACAGGAAUCAUUGCUAGUGCCUGAAGACAGAAAUAUCUCUGGGGACAUUCCGAGACAAAGUGGGGAGGCAGCACUAUCACACCCAGUCCCAAAAACUUUGCUCUGUAACUUGGCCAAAGGAGAAGUGAGAUCAGAGUGUCCAUGUAACAGCAGAAUGAUGCAGGAAGGUUGUUCUACAGGCCCUUCGGCAGGAAUGCCUAGCUGGCCUUCCCACACUACCAGGAUAUUACCUUUGGGACCUCUGCCAUUCAAGAUGGGCACAGUUUGAUAUGUUACUAGCUCCUAGGCAAACGUGAGCUUAAAGCAGCAUCUAGGGCCUAAAAGGAGGCAUCAACCUUGUAGGAAAAGAAAGAAAAGCAACAGGUAAAUUACAAAGAAUAUGUAAGUAAACAUACCCAAUAAAAACCAAAACAAGCCAGACAAAGAAGACUGGAAUAAAUAACUCAUCCUUUAAUGCAAAGACAUAGACAUACAUCCACAAGAAACUACAGCAAACAGGGACCUCCUUAAAUGGACAAAGAAAGAAACCAGUGGCUGACCUUAAAGAGACAACAACAUGUGAAGAGACAAUCAACAAAACAAAGUGAAGAGACAACCCACAGAAUGGGAGAACAUCUUUGCAAACUAUCAGUCUGACAGAAUUAAUAAGCAAAAUAUAUAAGGAACUCAAACAAUUCAAUACCAAAAAAAGCAAAUAAUCUGAUCUUUUUAAUUGGCAAAAUAUCUGAAUAGAUAUUUUUCAAAAAGGACAUGCAAAUGACUGAGAAGUCAAUGAAAAGUGUUCAACAUCACUAAUCAUCAGAGAAAUGCAAGUCAAAAUGAGAUAUCAUCUCGCCCCAGUUAAAAUGGCUUUUAUCAAAAAGGCAGGAAAUAAGGGGUGCUGGUGAGGAUAUGAAGACAGGGGGAUACUUGUACACUGUUGGUAGGAAUGUAAAUUAGUGCAGUCACUAUAGAAAACUGUAUGGAGGUUCUUUAAAAACUAAAAAUCCAACUUCCAUAUGAUUCAGCAAUUUCACUAUUGGGUAUGUAUCCAAAAGAAAGAAAAUACAUAGAGGACAUACCUGCACUCCCAUGUUUAUUGCAGCACUAGGGACAACAGCCAACAUAUGGAAUCAACCUAAGUGCCCAUCGGUGGAUGACUGGAUAGACAAAAUGUGGUAUAUGUACACAGUGGAAUAUUGUUCAGCCAUAAAAAAAUGAAAUCCAGUCACUUGCAACAACAUGGAUGGAACUGGAGGUCAUUACAUUAAGUGAAAUAAAACAAGCACAGAAAAACAAAUAUUUCAUGUUCUUAUUCAUAUGUGGGAACUUAAAAAAAAGUGGAUCUCAUGAAGAUAGCAAGUAGAUUGGUGGUCACCAGAGGCUGGGAAGGGUAGAAGGGAGGAAAAAUGAAGAGUAGUUGAUUAAUGGGUGCUAAUAUACAGUUAAAUAGAAAAAAUAAGACCUAACAUUUGAUAGAUGAGUAGCAUGAUUCUAUUGUUUAUUUCAAAAUAGCAAGAAAAGAAUAAUUUGAAUGUUUUUAGCAUAAAGAAAAGACAAAUAUUUAAGGUGAUGUAUACCCAAUCACACUGUAUGGCAGUUAAUAUUAGGUGUCAACUUGAUUGGAUUGAAGGAUGCCUAAAUAGCCGUAUUGGGUCUGACUAUGUCUGUGAGGGUGUUGCCACAGGAGAUUAACAUUUGAGUUACUGGACUGGGAGAGGAAGACUCACCCUCAAUGUGGGUGGGCACCACCCAAUCAGCUGCCAGUGCAGCUAGAACAAAGCUGGCAGAAGGUGGGAGAAGAGGGCUUGCUGAGUCUUCUGGCUUUCAUCUUUCUCCCAUGCUGGAUGCUUCCAUCCCUUAUUCCUGCCCUUGGACAUCAGACUCCAGGUUCUUUGGCCUUUGGACUCUUGGACUUACACCAGUGAUUUGCCGGGGGGCUCUUGGGCCUUGAAGCUGCACUGUUUGAUUCCCUAUUUCUGAGGCUUUUGGACUCGGACUGAGCCAUUACUGGCUUCUUUCCUCCUCAGCUUGCAGAUGGCCUAUUGUGGGACUUCACCUUGGGAUUUUUUGAGUCAAUUCUUCAUAAUAAGCUCCCCUUCAUAUAUGCAUAUAUCCUAUUAGUUCUGUCCCUUUGGAGAACCCUAAUAUACACUGAUUUGAUCUUUAUAAAUUAUAUGAAAGUAUGAUAUUACCCCAUAUACCCCAGAAUUAUGUACAUCUAUUAUGUCAAUAAAAAAUUAAUUAAAAAUUUUCAAACUCUUCUUGCAAUAAAAAUAAUCAACUGUCAAUUUUCUCUAUGUCUUAUUUGAUGUAUGCCCCCUAUAGUUAUGUGACCUUGG
rnacentral:lncRNA from 10 species